CCUACGGGCGGCUGCAGUAGGGAAUAUUGCUCAAUGGGGGAAACCCUGAAGCAGCAACGCCGCGUGGAGGAUGAAGGUUUUCGGAUUGUAAACUCCUUUUGUUAGAGAAGAUAAUGACGGUAUCUAACGAAUAAGCACCGGCUAACUCCGUGCCAGCAGCCGCGGUAAUACGGCGGGUGCAAACGUUACUCGGAAUCACUGGGCGGAAAGAGCGCGUAGGCGGGACAGCAAGUCAGAUGUGAAAUCCUAUGGCUUAACCAUAGAACUGCAUUGGAAACUGUUAUUCUAGAGUAUGGGAGAGGUAGGUGGAAUUCUUGGUGUAGGGGUAAAAUCCGUAGAGAUCAAGAGGAAUACUCAUUGCGAAGGCGACCUGCUAGAACAUAACUGACGCUGAUGCGCGAAAGCGUGGGGAGCAAACAGGAUUAGAUACCCUUGUAGUC
rnacentral:rRNA from 1 species